rnacentral:rRNA from 1 species
AAACCUCAGCGACGGAUAUCUCGGCUCUCGUACCGAUGAAGAACGCAGCCAACUGCGAUACGCACUGCGAAUUGCAGAGCUCAGUGAGUCAGUAGAUCUUUGAACGCAACCGGCGCCUUUACGGGCGUGCUGGCUUCAGUGCCU